AGCGGCAAAAGCUCAAAUUUGAAAUCUGGCGUCUUCGCACGCCCAAGUUGUAAUUUGAAGAAGGCGACUUUGUAGCUGGUCCUUGUCUAUGUUCCUUGGAACAGGACGUCAUAGAGGGUGAGAAUCCCGUGUGGCGAGGAUCCCAGUUAUUUGUAAAGUGCUUUCGACGAGUCGAGUUGUUUGG
rnacentral:rRNA from 1 species